rnacentral:rRNA from 1 species
CCUACGGGUGGCAGCAGUGGGGAAUAUUGCACAAUGGGGGAAACCCUGAUGCAGCGACGCCGCGUGAGUGAAGAAGUAUUUCGGUAUGUAAAGCUCUAUCAGCAGGGAAGAAAAUGACGGUACCUGACUAAGAAGCCCCGGCUAACUACGUGCCAGCAGCCGCGGUAAUACGUAGGGUGCAAGCGUUGUCCGGAAUCAUUGGGCGGAAAGAGUUCGUAGGCGGCAUGUAAAGUCAGGUGGUAACGGCGCAGGCUCAACCUGUGUAUGGCACUUGAUACUUGCAAGCUGGAAUGCGGGAGAGGUAAAGGGAAUUCCUGGUGUAGGGGUGAAAUGCUUAGAUAGCAGGAGGAACAUCAGUGGCGUAAGCGCUUUACUGGGCCGUAAUUGACGCUGAGGAACGAAAGCCAGGGUAGCAAAUGGGAUUAGAUACCCGGGUAGUC